UACGGAGGGGGCUAGCGUUGCUCGGAAUCACUGGGCGUAAAGGGUGCGUAGGCGGGUCUUUAAGUCAGGGGUGAAAUCCUGGAGCUCAACUCCAGAACUGCCUUUGAUACUGAAGAUCUUGAGUUCGGGAGAGGUGAGUGGAACUGCGAGUGUAGAGGUGAAAUUCGUAGAUAUUCGCAAGAACACCAGUGGCGAAGGCGGCUCACUGGCCCGGUACUGACGCUGAGGCACGAAAGCGUGGGGAGCAAACAGG
rnacentral:rRNA from 1 species